AGUGGCGAACGGGUGAGUAAUACAUCGGAACGUGCCCAGUCGUGGGGGAUAACUACUCGAAAGAGUAGCUAAUACCGCAUACGAUCUGAGGAUGAAAGCGGGGGACCUUCGGGCCUCGCGCGAUUGGAGCGGCCGAUGGCAGAUUAGGUAGUUGGUGGGAUAAAAGCUUACCAAGCCGACGAUCUGUAGCUGGUCUGAGAGGACGACCAGCCACACUGGGACUGAGACACGGCCCAGACUCCUACGGGAGGCAGCAGUGGGGAAUUUUGGACAAUGGGCGAAAGCCUGAUCCAGCAAUGCCGCGUGCAGGAUGAAGGCCUUCGGGUUGUAAACUGCUUUUGUACGGAACGAAAAAGCUUCUCCUAAUACGAGAGGCCCAUGACGGUACCGUAAGAAUAAGCACCGGCUAACUACGUGCCAGCAGCCGCGGUAAUAC
rnacentral:rRNA from 1 species